UUGGGAACAGCACGGCCGCAAGUCUGACUCGCCGUAUUUUGACGGCUUGGGAUUGCGGAAGUGU
rnacentral:ncRNA from 1 species